UCCCUGGUGGUUCAGUGGGUUAAGGAUCCAGCAUUGCCACUGCUGUGGCAUGGGUUCAAUUCUUGGCCUGGGAA
rnacentral:tRNA from 1 species